rnacentral:lncRNA from 1 species
GCCGGUCGCAGCGCAUGCGGUCAGGCCAGGCGAAGCCGUACUGGCGCAUGAGGGGCGCGCAGCCGGCCUUGGCGCGCUCGCACACCGAGCGGCAGGGAGGCAGGGGCUUCUUGUAGUCCUCCAGACAGAUGGGUGUGUACAUGCUGCACAGGAAGAACUUGAGGUCGGGCGAGCACUGGAUCUCCACCAGCGGCCAGAAUUGGUGCACCUCCAGGCCCGCCUCGUCCUGCGUGUCGUGGUUGAACUGGUUGGGCAUGUAGGUGUAGUUGUAGCCGAUGCCCUUGCACAGCGGCACGGUGAUCUCCUGGCACGCCAGCUCCUUGGCCGAGGCGGCCGCCGCGCCGCUCGAGCGCUGCAGCAACGCCAGGGCGGCCAGCAACGAGGUCACUUCCAACAGGGUGUUGACAGUGCUGACCUUGGGGUCAGAAGGUGGCUUCAAAUCCAGAGACAACAUUGCAAUGAGAUACAACGAACAAGCAAGCAAACAAGCAACAAUGGGGCUAUUUCCUUCCUUUUCUCUCUUUUUGGAGAGAGACACAUUCCCAGAGGUCUCUUGGAAGACUCCAUUGGUUGUAUUGGGCGGAAUCAAGCCACUGAUAAGAGGAGUGGGAUUGCCACACUUGUCUCCAAGAAAUCAGGAUACCCUGUGUCCUGGAGCUGAGAAAGUAUCUGGCCAGGUGGAGGAGGGUGAAUAUACCUGAAGAAAAUUAGGGGGUAUGAGAAAGGAAGAAGGGAAGUGGAGGUGGAUGUUGGCAAGGCAACCAACACUGCUACAUGACUGCAUCCAUCUGUCUCUCUCAUGUCUAAGCCUCACGGAAAAUCUGCAAGAGAGGAUUUUCCUCUGAGAGAGACACCCAUUCUGCAAGUUUUGCUGCUGGCUCUUUUGAUAUUCAUUGUGUAGUCAUUGGAGUCCGUACCACAGGUGUUUUGUGGCAGGAAGUUUUUCCACUGGCCCAGUCUGCCUUUCCGUGGAUCCUCUGAGAAUAAUGCAUUUUUCUUUUCACGCUGUGUCUUGAAAAUAUUUCAAAUAAUUAAAAUCAGAUUAAAACAG